UACAGAGACUGCAAGCGUUAUUCGGAUUCACUGGGCGUAAAGGGUGCGCAGGCGGCCAAGUGUGUUAGGCGUGAAAGCCCGGGGCUUAACCCCGGAAUUGCACCUAAAACUACAUGGCUAGAGCAUUGGAGAGGGUAGCGGAAUUCACGGUGUAGCAGUGAAAUGCGUAGAGAUCGGAAGGAACACCAGUGGCGAAGGCGGCUACCUGGACAGAUACUGACACUGAGGCGCGAGAGCGUGGGGAGCAAACAGG
rnacentral:rRNA from 1 species